CUCCAUGGCGAUUUAGUCCUCUAGGAUCCAGGAAGUGCUCAUCAGUCUUCUGGAAAUCACCUGCUUCCAGCACUCUUCUAAAACCAUAAAACAUGAUUACCAAUUAACCACAAAAAUAUCUGAAGAUCGCAAAAAUAAAGUGACGCCUGCAGAACUCUCUUCUCUACAGCAACAAGUAGACAGAACUUAAACAAAAGCGAUGCAGAGGGACAAGAUGUGCACCAAAGAGUCAUGGAGAAGGCAAGCGGGACCCUGUAAGAAGGUGCAGGAUGCAGGCUCAGAGGGACUAAGCCGCAUGCUGAUGAGCGUGCUGAGAAGGUGCCCUGUGAGCCAUCUUUGGAAGUGGGUGAGCAUUAGAGGUGAGCCGAGGCAGCAGUGAGGAGGAGCUUGUGGCUGGUGAUUUCUCACAUGUGCAACAGUAAUUUUGUUUCUUGGUAUCUCAAGCAAUGAUGGCCACAGCAUUUGACUCU